rnacentral:rRNA from 1 species
UGGGGAAUAUUGCACAAUGGGCGCAAGCCUGAUGCAGCCAUGCCGCGUGUGUGAAGAAGGCCUUCGGGUUGUAAAGCACUUUCAGCGAGGAGGAAGGGUAGUGUGUUAAAAGCACAUUGCAUUGACGUUACUCGCAGAAGAAGCACCGGCUAACUCCGUGCCAGCAGCCGCGGUAAUACGGAGGGUGCAAGCGUUAAUCGGAAUUACUGGGCGUAAAGCGCACGCAGGCGGUUUGUUAAGUCAGAUGUGAAAUCCCCGCGCUUAACGUGGGAACUGCAUUUGAAACUGGCAAGCUAGAGUCGUGUAGAGGGGGGUAGAAUUCCAGGGGUAGCGGUGAAAUGCGUAGAGAUCUGGAGGAAUACCGGUGGCGAAGGCGGCCCCCUGGACAAAGACUGACGCUCAGGUGCGAAAGCGUGGGGAGCAAACA